rnacentral:rRNA from 1 species
UACGUAGGGUGCGAGCGUUAAUCGGAAUUACUGGGCGUAAAGCGUGCGCAGGCGGUCUGUUAAGACCGAUGUGAAAUCCCCGGGCUUAACCUGGGAACUGCAUUGGUGACUGGCAGGCUUUGAGUGUGGCAGAGGGAGGUAGAAUUCCACGUGUAGCAGUGAAAUGCGUAGAUAUGGGAGGAACACCGAUGGCGAAGGCAGCCCCCUGGAUCAAAACUGACGCUCAUGCACGAAAGCGUGGGGAGCAAACAGG